AAUCCAUGCUUCUCCCCUGAGGAACCAAGAGGGACUGAAGUUGUGAUGAAGCACAGUGCCCCGACUGUUACAACGGUUACAACUGGUGGAAAUCACAUGGUUUGUGACAUUAAACAGUUGUCUGCCAGUAGAAGUUGUUGGGGUUUCAAGCCAAGUGAGCAGCAGACAUCAAUGCUUGACCAGUUUUUGAGGAAAAAUGACCCAGAUGAGAAAAUUGCUCAAGUUGGGAGGAUUACACUGCAGCGGAAGGAUUUCUGGACCUUGGGUCUCAAUGCAGAGCUUGAGGCAACAGUAAGUGGACAUGCCAUGAUUUCAAAAAUUAAAGUUACUGUAGAACUGAUUUUUUUUUACAGAUUGCAAACAGCUGUCUUAAUGUGAUCACCAUGUUGGCUAAGGAAAAGGGAAUGGAUGUGUUGGCAGCGGAUUCCUACGUUGUUGUUACCUGGCUACCGCCACAUAAUUGUGACCCGUUUCUAUCAUUUCCGG